GGCUUGGUAGCUCAGUUGGUAGAGCAAAUGACUGAAAAUCAUUGUGUCGGCGGUUCAAUUCCGUCCCAAGCCACCA
rnacentral:tRNA from 1 species